AAAAUGGCUCCUGAGCGUCAACCUGAGGUGUCCGAAAUACCCAAGAGCCAAAGGAAAUUUCAGUCUUAUAUCCCAUCUAGCACGAACAAAUAUGGAUGGCGAGAAGAUUUGAAGUACUAUGAUUUGAAAAUUCCGAAGUGGAAGUACGGUUUUGCAGAUUCAAUCCGAGUAAUAUGCGGGUUGGUGCCAAAACAGCAAGAAAAAUAUGAGCCCUUUGAUCCAUUUGAUCCUAAAUCGUACAAGGUCGAGAACUGCCAUCAACGAUUGCAUUUUUAUCAGAGAAUGCUAGAUGAAAGGGGUUGGAAAGAUCCCUGGAUAAGAUUCGAAGUUCCUAUGUGGCACAAAAUUAACACAACUAGAGUCUAUACAUAUUGGCAGGCGUUAGGCAGAAUGUUGGUACCGGGAAUCAUAUUGGGAAUUAUUUGUGCACAAAUUAAAGGGAAGUACUUCACUUACCAUGAUUAUGAAGGAAGGGAAGAAAAAUGGAAACACUUUAAAUAUGCAAAACAUCAUUGACGAUGAAACAGAGAAGAAGAACUGAUAUGAGGAUGAAACAGAUAAGAAGAACUGAUAUAUUUUCUUAUGGCUCUGUUCCUUGAGAAAUGAAUAAACAUAAUUGAAGUC
rnacentral:misc_RNA from 1 species